rnacentral:rRNA from 1 species
UACGUAGGGUGCAAGCGUUAAUCGGAAUUACUGGGCGUAAAGCGUGCGCAGGCGGUUAUGUAAGACAGAUGUGAAAUGCCCGGGCUUAACCUGGGAACUGCAUUUGUGACUGCAUGGCUAGAAUCUGGCAGAGGGGGGUGGAAUUCCGCGUGUAGCAGUGAAAUGCGUAGAGAUGCGGAGGAACACCGAUGGCGAAGGCAGCCCCCUGGGUCAAGAUUGACGCUCAUGCACGAAAGGCGUGGGGAGCAAACGA